rnacentral:rRNA from 1 species
UGGGGAAUCUUGCGCAAUGCGCGAAAGCGUGACGCAGCAACGCCGCGUGGGGGAAGAAGGCCUUCGGGUUGUAAACCCCUUUCAGUUGGGACGAAGCUUCGUCGGUUAAUAGCCGGCUGGAGUGACGGUACCUUCAGAAGAAGCCCCGGCUAACUACGUGCCAGCAGCCGCGGUAAUACGUAGGGGGCUAGCGUUGUCCGGAAUCAUUGGGCGUAAAGCGCGUGUAGGCGGUCCGGUAAGUCCGCUGUGAAAGUCGGGGGCUCAACCCUCGGAUGCCGGUGGAUACUGUCGGGCUUGAGUACGGAAGAGGCGAGUGGAAUUCCUGGUGUAGCGGUGAAAUGCGCAGAUAUCAGGAGGAACACCAAUUGCGAAGGCAGCUCGCUGGGACGUUACUGACGCUGAGACGCGAAAGCGUGGGGAGCAAACA